rnacentral:rRNA from 1 species
GAUGAACGCUGGCGGCGUGCCUAAUACAUGCAAGUCGAGCGAACGGACGAGAAGCUUGCUUCUCUGAUGUUAGCGGCGGACGGGUGAGUAACACGUGGAUAACCUACCUAUAAGACUGGGAUAACUGCGGGAAACCGGAGCUAAUACCGGAUAAUAUUUUGAACCGCAUGGUUCAAAAGUGAAUGACGGUCUUGCUGUCACUUAUAGAUGGAUCCGCGCUGCAUUAACUAGUUGGUAAGGUAACGGCUUACCAAGGCAACGAUGCAUAGCCGACCUGAGAGGGUGAUCGGCCACACUGGAACUGAGACGCGGUCCUGACUCCUACGGGAGGCAGCAGUAGGGAAUCUUCCGCAAUGGGCGAAAGCCUGACGGAGCAACGCCGCGUGGGUGAUGAAGGUCUUCGGAUCGUAAAACUCUGUUAUUGGGGUAGAACAUAUGUGUAAGUAACUGUGCACAUCUUGACGGUACCUAAUCAGAAAGCCACGGCUAACUACGUG